GUUUUAUUAGUGUAAGCUUUACGUAACAAUUCAUUCAUAAACAGAUCUAAACAUAACAAAAGAGUAGUGACAUUACAUUUUUUUACCAUAUUGUAACAGCAUAUUAUCAGAAAAGGCUCAUUUUAUGUAGGGUGACAAAACUGAACACGAAAGAGUAAUAGAUCAUAGAAAUUAUAUAAAUCUUAAAAUCAAUUGAAAAUCAAAAUUCUAGUGUGUCCUCAAAGUAUGACAAACAAUUUUAUUAAAACACAAACACGUGAUUACUGUAUGGAAUAAUAUAUUGCUUGAAAUCACAAAGAGAAAUCUGACUGCCAUUCUGGGGUCAAGAAAGCUUAUUUUUACAAUUUUGUUGCAAAAUGUAUGAAAAGGCCGAACUAAAUGGACGGAGUUCUUUUCUCAGCCUAUGUAACUGUGUAAGUAUUUAAUAAAAGACGGUGCAUUCCUUAACAGGAUUUGUGGUCAGCAAGUAAAACAGAGGUAAUUUUCACAAGGCAUAUGGACAUUAGCCUAUUUGAAGGAACAUUCUAAGCACCAUAGCCACUACAGCUAAUUGUCUGAGCCAAGCCCGGCAGUGCAGAGCUUAGCUUAUUGGCUGAGGUCUAUCAACCGGCAAUCAACCGACACCAAUGAACAAGCCCUGGACUGCAGGGUUUAGCUCAUGUUAGCUAACUAAAGCUCCAAAGAGGCACCCUAAGUAGGAAGUCACACCAUUCUAAAAUGGUUUGACUGCUUACAGUGCAACCAGUUAAUUCCUGGCACCAUAACAACUACAGGGUGUGUGCUGUAUUGCUUUUGGCACUUGGAGAGUUCCCUUAAAAUGAACACUCUUAUUCUCACCUAUGUUUUGUCUCAGGCCUGUCAAAGCUCCAAUUACCCAACUGUAUAAACUUGUGGCAUAAGCUUCCCAUAAUGCCUAGUCUAAAGACAAGUACAGCAUCAUGGGAAAUGUAGUUAUUACAUUGCUGCACUCAGGGAAUCCCCAAUCAUGGGAAUAUGACAUGAAUUUAACUUUUUCAAAGAUAAACUAAGCCACGUAGGAGAGCCUGUCUAUUAGUCCUCAGUGUCUGAAAAAUUCAUUGUUUUCAAAACGGUCAUUUUCUUGUACAUCGCAUCAUAUUAAAAACUAUUUUUGUUUCAUCAUAAUUAUAUUAAUGAUUUUAAAUUUAAU